CGAAUUCAUCUUUUAUUAUUGCCAAGAUUGAAUCCAGGUUGUCUUAAUAACAGAAAUCACUGCCCAAGGAAUGAUUAGUUCUAGAAUAUUUGUACUGAAUCACAACAAGGUAAAGUAAGGCCAAAGGAACUUUAGUUAAACUACUCUUGGCUCUUACUCUGUUUCUGUCUUUUUCCAAAGUUCUGUUUAUAAGACUUCCUAGAAAUGGAAUAGCACACACACCAUUUCACACACACACCCCUCCAACUAGGGAGGGAGGGCUUUUGGUCCAGAGCAGCGCCUGUACACAGUAAGAUGUCAUGUUCCUAUUUACGUCAUACUGUAUCCCUAUAAAGGCUGAAAGUUACCCCAUAUUGUUGGGAUUGUUGGGACUUCUGUGAAAUGAAGAUGAUUGUAAGUCCAGAAUAAACGAAUCCCCCUGCUGGUCACUGAAGAGAAGCUGUGGUGUCUGGUCUCGUCUGUCUGUUUUUUAAGGUUAAGUCCUCUCCCACAUAAUUGGCGCCCAACGUGGGGCAAAACAAGGGAGAGGAAAAAAAGGCUUUCCACAGCACCUACCUCCAGUGGCAAAACGGGACCCAUUGAGAAACAGAAAAGAGGAGUCCUGUUUUUCAGAAAUUGAGAUUCUGUCCGGUUCUGGCCACCCUUUUUCUGAUGGAAGACAUCAAAAAAAGACGAGAAGAACAGCUGUAAAUUGAGCAUGGAGAGACGGUAUGAUAAAUUAUAAAGUGAAAAUCAGACUUAUGUCAACCUCUGAUUUAAGCAAUCAAAUUUUCAAGUAACUUAAAUAGAUCUCUCUGGCAAAACGUUGUCAAAAGGUUAGUGUAAUAGUUGUUCGCGUAAACAUAUUAUUUAAGGUCACAUGGAUGCUUGUGAUCAUACCGGUAGGACAUAGAAAACUAAUAUUAUAACUUAAAUCUAGGUCUUACCUUUGAGGAAAGUAGGUUUCCAGGCAAUAACUUAGGAAAAAGGGAACUCAACUUUUAUUAAAAAGAAAUGGGAAUAACUACUGUUAUACGAACAAGAUGUGGAAGAUUAUUUAGCUAUUUCUGGGAACAGUUCCACAAACAUUGAUCAACAGAUAACUUCAUCUUAACAGUUGACCUCUGUUGGUAAACACAGGGUGUCAUGUUCUGGACUUUUGCUCCCUUUGCCUCGCUAGCGAGGACACACAGACCUUAGAUGUUUUCCCAACUUCUGUACAGAUAUUUCCUAAUCUCGGCAAAGAAAACUGAAAAUAAACAAUGUUAAACUAGUUAUUGAGUAGUAAAUUGGGUUACAUUGCUGAAACAAAAUUUUAAGUAUUUUAAAUAAGGUUACUUUUUCUCGAAACUGAAAUAUUAUCAUUAUUAAAAGAGAAGCAAACAUUAGCCUGAAUUAUCUUAAACUUGGAAGAGACCUGAAGUUUCAAUGUGACGUUCCUAUUAACUCUGCCAUAAUUCUACUUAAAAGGAAGAUAAAACCUAGGUACUUCUCUAUAAAAAGGAUGAGAAAGAAAAAGACGAGUUAUACGCUAUUUCAUAAAGAAUGUGUAAACAGGAAACGACAAGAGAAGGUAGAACAUAGCGUGAGUCCCGUCUGUCUCUGAGGAAUUUUCCUUUCAUUUCAUUUCUUUCUUUUUUUUUUGUGCUUAUGACUCUGGAUUAAACUCAUUACACCUGGCAAUGGUACGCAACUCUUAUUGCACGAUUAUCCAAACAGUUGGACAAGAUGUGGGAA